rnacentral:misc_RNA from 1 species
GAACUGGUUAAACAGGUUAUCAGUUUAUAGCCACCGUAAAGACAUUUUAAAUUUCGCGGCACAUGCUCGUGCAUUCCGCGCCAUUAUCUUUUUUGUCUCAUUUUAGUCGUUCGCUGAGUUCACAGCACUGCGUAGAGGAUAUGUUCGAGACGUUGGAGCAGCUGGCUGAUGCUGCCCCGCCAUCCCCAGUCUUGGUUGCGAGGAAGCAAGUAAUUCUUUAUAGUACGCACUAAAUUCCGGCGGUAAAAACGACGUGGCAGCCGUGGGCGGAAUCGGCGGGGGAAAUAAACCAUUAUAGAAUGCGGAAUAGUACAUGGGGUCUAAAAUCGGUAGGAACUUGCCGGGCGUGUUUGGCAGUUGUGGAAAGAAAGCUGGAUUGUUUUGCGGUACCGAAAUCUGUUCCGUUCGUCAAAAGGAGGGCAAGAUCGAGGCAUAAAAAUUCGAGGAUCCUUCGGCUAAGGCUUAAGCGGAAAAUGAUAGAAGGAGAAACGACUGCGAAAAGUUUUGUUUAAGUAGAUUCCCAUCGAAAAUAACCGGAAACUUCGAAUUACAGCGGAGAACCCGUAAGUUGCGUUCCAAUAUUUUAGUUUUUACAGUAGCUCGAAAUCUUUGAACAGUUUUAUGAAACUUAAACAUCGUACUUAAAACUUAUAAUUCCAUGCAAAGAAAAAGUUUCCGGAGCAACUUCUGUGCCGCCACGUUUUAUGUUUCAUUUCUAUUCAUUAUUCCAAUGCUUCUUCAACGCGCCGAUGCAAAUUUUAUCUUUUAACGCGCCCACCGGCUCCGGCGCGACGCUUCUAAGCAGUUCAACGAUAAAGGAUUUGCGUUAACGAAGUAGUUGCCAACGUAUUUCGUUAAGUCCGCGGAAACUGUUCGUCGAUUAGGUAUUGCUUAAACGAUGGCCUAUCAGCUCGCGCUUAAUCCACCGAAAUCUCAUCGAUUAAUUUUAAUUUACCGCUUGGUCUAAGAUCAACCUCCAAAUGAGACUAUGAACCUUUCGACCCGUAAAAUUUCAACUAGGCUAGGAUAGGGGUCGAAUCAGAAGGA